CAGAAUUUUAAAAAGUCGUAUUAAAGAUGAGUUGGAGUGAAAGUGAUUUAUUCGUUUUGGAGCACUGCUAAGACCCACUUUGAGAAAGAAUGGAAAAAUACAAAGAGAAAGAAGCCUUCAAACACUUGUCCAGUCUUUUUAGGAAGAUGUCUACGUCUUGCUUUUUAAUUCCGAUGGCUGAUGCAGCAUUGAGGAAGUGGAAUAAUCCAAGCUAAUG
rnacentral:lncRNA from 1 species